GAUGAACGCUGGCGGCGUGCCUAAUACAUGCAAGUCGAGCGAACGGACGAGAAGCUUGCUUCUCUGAUGUUAGCGGCGGACGGGUGAGUAACACGUGGAUAACCUACCUAUAAGACUGGGAUAACUUCGGGAAACCGGAGCUAAUACCGGAUAAUAUUUUGAACCGCAUGAUUCAAAAGUGAAAGACGGUCUUGCUGUCACUUAUAGAUGGAUCCGCGCUGCAUUAGCUAGUUGGUAAGGUAACGGCUUACCAAGGCAACGAUGCAUAGCCGACCUGAGAGGGUGAUCGGCCACACUGGAACUGAGACACGGUCCAGACUCCUACGGGAGGCAGCAGUAGGGAAUCUUCCGCAAUGGGCGAAAGCCUGACGCAGCAACGCCGCGUGAGUGAUGAAGGUCUUCGGAUCGUAAAACUCUGUUAUUAGGGAAGAACAUAUGUGUAAGUAACUGUGCACAUCUUGACGGUACCUAAUCAGAAAGCCACGGCUAACUACGUG
rnacentral:rRNA from 1 species